UACGUAGAAGGCAAGCGUUACCCGGAAUUAUUGGGCGUAUAGCGUCCGUAGGUUGUGAUUCAAGUCAGCGGUUAAAGCGUGGGGCUUAACAUCAUACAGGCCGUUGAAACUGGAUUGCUAGAGUGCGGUAGGGGUCGAGGGAAUUCCAAGUGUAGCGGUGAAAUGCGUAGAUAUUGGGAAGAACACCGGUGGCGAAAGCGCUCGGCUGGGCCUGCACUGACGCUGAGGGAAGAAAGCUAGGGGAGCGAAAGGG
rnacentral:rRNA from 1 species